UUGAGACCACUUUCCUGACUGCUAGCAAAUCUGUGAGCUGUCUCCUUAUGGAUGUAUCACGGCUUGGUGGGUGGUGGAAGUAAGCGCAGGCAGGAUGGUGGUUCAAACAGGUCCUGACUGGCCCGCAGACCAGAGAUGGCUAGAGACAUCCUCAUAGCCAGGACCUGACAGGUUGUUGGCACCUCUGCGGUCAGGUCUUGACUGUGGUCCCAAGGCGCAUAGAGAUGCCUAGAGGCCCCCAGCCAGGAACUGACAAAUGCCAAGUGUUACAUCCAGCAAAAACAAGGUACCAUUCAUGACCUGGCUAAUACUAUCCCAACGGUGAAGCAUGGUGGUGGGAGCCUCAUGUUAUGAGGAUGAUUCUCAAUGACAGGGACCGGAAAACUGGUCCGGAUUGAGGAAAGGAUGAACAGAGCAAAAUACGGAGAGCUCCUUGAAGAAAACCUGAUAAAGACUUCACAGGAUCUCAGACUAUGCUGAAGAUCCCUUGUCCAUCAAGAAAACAACAUAAAGCACACAGCCAGGACAAUGCUGAUGUGGUUUCAGGACACAUUUUUGCAUGUCCAUGAGUGGCCCAGUCAAAGCCUCCACUUGAACCUCUUGAAGAAUGGGAGAAAUAAAUCCAGAUCCAGAUAUGCAAAGCUAGUAGAGGUAUAUAUUCUUUACAAUAUAUUGCCACACUUUUCUAAAUGUUUUUGGGUCUUCAUUAUGGGGUAGUUAUAUGGGGCAGUUAUACAUUUAGUCUACAACAAAUGUAGGGCUCUAAAUACCUGCUGAAACCACUGUAUGUCUCAUAUAACCUAUAGUAGUAACCUAAUGGAGUGUUUGCUGCAACUGGGGCCUAGUAGAAGUGACGGUAUGAUCACAUUGGCGCUUUUCCACUGCAUGGUACCGGCUCAACUCUACUCGCCUCGCCUCUACCCGCUUUGAGAGCUUUUCCACUGCAUGGUACCGACUCGGCUCACAAUUUGCUUUUCCACUGGCCAAAGGUUGAGAUAGUACCUAUUACCAGGUACUUUCAUCAGUAGGGAUGGGAAGGGUCUUUUAUGUAGCAGCCAUAGUGUACAUACACUUUAUCUCAUGCAAGGUUACAAUUCAAUAUUGAAUUUGCCAUGAAUGAAUUCUGUAAAUUCAGCCACCCGUUUAACUGUUAUUUAAUCACGACUCAAUAACACAGUGUAAAUAUUGUUAUAGCCCUGAUUCAUUGUCUGCACUGUUUGAUUGUAUUGUACUAUACGCCAUAUGUUAGCCUUGCCAUCUUUUAAUUAA